GGAGUAAACUGAAGUUUGUGAUCAUGCUCAGGUAACCCCUGAACAUAUGACACAUGCCUACACUAAACUGAUGAUCUAAUAAUAUGGCAGUUUAGUCACUUUGAAGCCUAGGCCUUAACUAGCUUCAAAAAUCUAGCACAUGCACACAUGAUACUUUUAUAUAUAACCCUCGUUGGGGUAAUUCCAACUGUGUAGUGAUGUGUACCUACAAAAAGGACAUUCAGUGAGCUGGUGAAUGUACAAGGAUCACUGACGCAUUUCCGCAUUUCACCUUGCCUCGUACAAAGGGCUAAUGCAGCACAAUCUGGUUAAAGCCUUAAUGCUGUCUUUCUGUGAUAAGAAGGCGUUUGAACACAGGGCAUCACGGCUUGCUGUGCAUGAGAUUGUAGCUGCAACACUGGUCAGAGUGCCCAUGCUGAGCCCUGUACUAAAGCUGAAGAUCUUACAUCGAGCAUGGAAGAGGUGGCAGCAGGAUGCAUUAUCAGACAAGCCAGCAGAGGACAUGGGCUCCUGGGCCAAUUUUCUGCUGGAAACAGUUAUUUGGGAGUUGCAUUCCCAAGAGCAUCUCCUAAUAUCACUGACCUGUUGUUUACAUGUGGAUCUGGAAAAAUGCGAGACUUUUUCAAUCCUGGAUGCCAAAGGUGACCAAAGGUUCACUAAAGGUUUACUGCUAGCAUGUGCAUUCACUCAUGUGAGCUUCAUGUGCAGAGUGCUUCCUGGAAAACAAUGAAUUCAGUUGAAUUAGAAUGAGUGUGUGUGUGUGUGUGUGUGUGUGUGGCUGUUCAAUGAACUUGUUAGACUACCUCUCCCCAAACAUCAUAGGGUAAGUCUUGCAUAAGGAUCUUCUUUAGGUAAACGCUUAGAGCUGGAAGCCAUCUUUAUUAGGAGAGUUGACAUAUGUAAAGAAGCCAUACAGGUGACAAAAGUCAAUGACAUGUUGGUCAGCACCA